rnacentral:rRNA from 1 species
ACAGGUGCUGCAUGGCGUGUCGUCAGCUCGUGUCGUGAGAUGUUGGGUUAAGGUCCCGCAACGAGCGCAACCCCUCGCAUUCAGUUGCCAUCGGGUGAAGCCGGGCACUCUGGAAGGACUGCCAUCGACAAGAUGGAGGAAGGUGGGGACGACGUCAAGUCAUCAUGGCCCUUAUGUCCAGGGCGACACACGUGCUACAAUGGCCGGCACAACGGGAAGCGAGUUCGCGAGGACGAGCGGAUCCCUUAAAGCCGGUCGCAGUUCGGAUUGAAGUCUGCAACUCGACUUCAUGAAGCUGGAAUCGCUAGUAAUCGCAGAUCAGCCAAGCUGCGGUGAAUACGUUCCCGGGCCUU